UACGUAGGUCCCGAGCGUUGUCCGGAUUUAUUGGGCGUAAAGCGAGCGCAGGUGGUUUAUUAAGUCUGGUGUAAAAGGCAGUGGCUCAACCAUUGUAUGCAUUGGAAACUGGUAGACUUGAGUGCAGGAGAGGAGAGUGGAAUUCGAUGUGUAGCGGUGAAAUGCGUAGAUAUAUGGAGGAACACCGGUGGCGAAAGCGGCUCUCUGGCCUGUAACUGACACUGAGGCUCGAAAGUGUGGGGAGCAAACAGG
rnacentral:rRNA from 1 species